UAAGAAUUUAAAAGUCGAACAGACUUAUUUUUAAGAGUACUGCCUCUUAAAAUUUUCUUAAUUCAACAUCGAGGUCGCAAAAUGCAAUAUAAAUAAGAACUCCCCAUUGAAAUUACGCUGUUAUCCCUAAGGUAACUUAUUCUUAUUAUCCGACAUUAAGGAUCUAAAAUUACAUAAAUAAAUGAAUAAUAAAACUAAAGUUAAUAAUUUAGUUACCACCCCAGCAAAAUAUAAUUAACUAUUAAAAAAUAUGAAUAGAUAAAACUUAAUAAUAAUAUAAUAAUAUAAAGUUCUAUAGGGUCUUAUCGUCCCAAUAAAUUAUUAAAGCAUUUUAACUUUAAAUUCAAAUUCUAACAUUUUAAAGUAAUAAAAUGUAAUUCUCAUACAUCCAUUCAUACAAGCUUUCAAUUAAAAAACUAAUUACUAUGCUACCUUUGCACAGUCAAAAUACUGCAGCCAUUUAGAAAUGUAACCAUAGGGCAGAAGAUACUUUUUAUAUAACCA
rnacentral:rRNA from 1 species